ensembl:misc_RNA Metazoa_SRP Metazoan signal recognition particle RNA
GCCGGGUGCAGUGGCAUGUGCCUGUAAUCCAAGUCACUGGGAGGCUGAGGUUGGUGGAUCAAGUGAGCUGAGGAGGUCUGGGCUGCAGCACGCUAUGUCGAACGGGUGUCCACGCUAAGUUCGGUAUCGAUAUGGUGUUCCUGGGGGAGCCUGGGACCACCAGGUUGUCUAAGGAGGGGUGAACUGGCCCAGGUCAGAAACGAAGCAGGUCAAAUCCCCCGUGCUGUCCAGUAGUGGGAUAAUACCUGUGAGUAGAUGCUGCAGUGCAGCCUUGGCAAAACAUCGAGACCUAAUCUUUU